AUUGAACGCUGGCGGCAGGCCUAACACAUGCAAGUCGAGCGGAUGACGGGAGCUUGCUCCUGGAUUCAGCGGCGGACGGGUGAGUAAUGCCUAGGAAUCUGCCUGGUAGUGGGGGACAACGUUUCGAAAGGAACGCUAAUACCGCAUACGUCCUAUGGGAGAAAGCAGGGGACCUUCGGGUCUUGCGCUAUCAGAUGAGCCUAGGUCGGAUUAGCUUGUUGGUGAGGUAAUGGCUCACCAAGGCGACGAUCCGUAACUGGUCUGAGAGGAUGAUCAGUCACACUGGAACUGAGACACGGUCCAGACUCCUACGGGAGGCAGCAGUGGGGAAUAUUGGACAAUGGGCGAAAGCCUGAUCCAGCCAUGCCGCGUGUGUGAAGAAGGUCUUCGGAUUGUAAAGCACUUUAAGUUGGGAGGAAGGGUUGUAGAUUAAUACUCUGCAAUUUUGACGUUACCGACAGAAUAAGCACCGGCUAACUCUGUGCCAGCCGCCGCAGUAAAAC
rnacentral:rRNA from 1 species